rnacentral:lncRNA from 1 species
GUGCAUACAGAAUACCAAUCCUUCAAUCCUACAACUGAAGAAGAAAAAGUCAACUAUAUGGGUAAAAAUAACUUUGGAUUUCAAAAUAACCCAUACAGUAAUACCUAUAAUGCAGGUUGGAGGAACCACCCAAAUUUCUCCUAGGGUGGUCAAGGGAAUCAAAAGACACAAAAUCCUCAAGUUUUCAACAGCCACCUUAUCAACAAGAGAAGAAACCAAACCUUGAAGAGAUGCUUUCUAAAUUCAUCUCGAUGUCAGAAACCCGUUUCCAAAAUAUCGAGACAGCACUUAAGAAUCAACAAGCAUCAAUCCAAGGACUCGAAAC